rnacentral:rRNA from 1 species
UAAGGAAUAUUGCGCAAUGGGGGAAACCCUGACGCAGCAACGCCGCGUGGAGGAUGACACUUUUCGGAGCGUAAACUCCUUUUAUCAGGAAAGAAUAAUGACGGUACCUGAUGAAUAAGCACCGGCUAACUCCGUGCCAGCAGCCGCGGGAAUACGGGGGGUGCAAGCGUUACUCGGAAUCACUGGGCGUAAAGGACGCGUAGGCGGAUUAUCAAGUCUUUUGUGAAAUCUAGUGGCUUAACCACUAAACUGCUUAGGAAACUGAUAGUCUAGAGUAGGGGAGAGGUAGAUGGAAUUCUUGGUGUAGGGGUAAAAUCCGUAGAGAUCAAGAAGAAUACCCAUUGCGAAAGCGAUCUGCUGGAACCUAACUGACGCUGAGGCGUGAAAGCGUGGGUAGCAAACAGG